CUGCUGCCUCCCGUAGGAGUCUGGGCCGUGUCUCAGUCCCAGUGUGGCCGUCCGCCCUCUCAGGCCGGCUACUGAUCGUCGCUUUGGUAGGCCGUUACCCUGCCAACUGGCUAAUCAGACGCGGGCCCAUCCUGUACCACCGGAGUUUUCAGGAAAAGCCAUGCGGCUUCUCCCGUUAUGCGGUAUUAGCACCUAUUUCUAAGUGUUAUCCCCCUGUACAGGCCAGGUUGCCCACGCGUUACUCACCCGUCCGCCACUCA
rnacentral:rRNA from 1 species